GCAAAGGCGGGGCGAGCAGCCGUGGUAAUGCGGAGGGUGCAAGCGUUAAGUGGAAUUACUGGGCGUAAAGCGUGCGCGGGCGGCUUAUUAAGUCAGAUGUGAAAUCCCUAGGCUCAACCGAGGAACUGCAUUUGAAACUAAUAAACUAGAGUAUCGUAGAGGGAGGUAGAAUUCCAGGUGUAGCGGUGAAAUGCGUAGAUAUCUGGAGGAAUACCAGUGGCGAAGGCGACCUCCUGGACGAAAACUGACGCUCAAGCACGAAAGCAUGGGGAGCAAACAGGAUUAGAUACCCUGGUAGUC
rnacentral:rRNA from 1 species